ACCUGCGGAAGGAUCAUUACAAGAAUAAUUUCUAAAGUAAACCACGGGGAGCCACGCAAAGCGCACGCACCCGCCAGCAACCGAACCUGUCUUGGGGAGGCUCCCGAAACCCGGGGGCCGCCGGGCUGCCUGAGCCUGGCGCUUAGGGCACGCGUUGAGUGACACAAGUCGCUCCGCCGGUACCCGCCUCGCACACGAAGGCGCUUAAAGCGCGAGCAGGUAAACAAUCGCUCUGUUGGCGGGGGGACUCUGCCUUGUCGUGGCCCUCGUGGCCUUCACAAACCCUCUGCGUACCCCUACCAUGUUGCUUCCCCGAGUGCUGCCCUCGCCGGCGGACAGGGGAGGGCCCACAAAGAAACUCUUUUGCAGCCAAACAGCAGUCAGACCAACAAACAGAAAACAAAAAGUUAAAACUUUCAACAACGGAUCUCUUGGUUCCCGCAUCGAUGAAGAACGCAGCGAAAUGCGAUAAGUAAUGUGAAUUGCAGAAUUCAGUGAAUCAUCGAAUCUUUGAACGCACAUUGCGCCCUCUGGUAUUCCGGAGGGCAUGCCUGUUCGAGCCUCAAUGAAACCGCUCCCCUCCUGGCGCUUCUCGGAGCAAAACGGCGGGGGUUCUGGCGGACGCGAACGCCGUCAAUGGCUUCUUGCGCCGCUCAAAUCGACGGUCUGCAGGCCCCGAGGGCGCACCCGACGUAGUGAUAACAUUUCUCGUCGACGGCGACCCCGGUGCUCCUGAGACCCUAAGCGUUUCGGCGCCAAACCCAAUCGGUUGAGCUCGGAUCAGGUAGGGAUACCCGCUGAACUUAAGCAUAUCAUAA
rnacentral:rRNA from 1 species